AUCCCGAUUGCCUUAGAUCUCGGAAGAGACUGGCAGGUCGGUGGCUGGCCGCCUAGGUCUGCCCAUCCCAGUACGCCCAGCGCCGGCGCUCACCUUGAAGGAACCCUCAAACUCGUCGCUCAUCCUCCGCAGCUCGCGGCCGUAGCGCUGGGCAGCCCAGAGGUUGGGGGGAGCCGAGCGCGAGCGGCCUCGGAAGGGACUGAGCUCCUCCUCCAUGCCUCCAUCCUCUUCGGUGCCCGCAGGGUACGAACUGUGGCGACUCCGGGUCUCCAAAGCCCCGCCGCCUGCAGGAAGGGUCAGGGAAUGGGGGAAACGUGAAUCUCCGCUUCGGUGCGCUCACGUUAGGCAGAACACAAAAGCUUGAGCUGGUAAUAGUGAACACCUGUAUUCCUAGCAUUUGUGAGGUGGAGACAAAAGAAUCAGUAAUUCAAGGCCAGCCAAAGCUACAGAAGACCCUAUCUUGCAAAAAUGAAAAGAGGAGCAACACUGUUCAGAGAAGCCAAGCUUACUCAGGAUGGUAGAGCUGUGAAGGCCCAGGCCAGAGGGCCCUGGGUUUGGAACGCAGAGUCCUUCAGGCUAAGCUGCUCAUCCCUUGCACUCCCACCCUUCCACUCCCUGAGCCAGUUUCUUCCCCUUCAUGAGGGAUAGGGCUAACAUCACUCCCAAUGCCUGUGUGUGUGAAGGUCAUGUCAGAGCCUAGGUGUGCCCUGUGACCAUCAGGUAAACUGUGGGAUGUUACUGAGUAACACCCCUGCUGUGA